AGACCCGAAACCCGGUGAUCUAGCCAUGGGCAGGUUGAAGGUUGGGUAACACUAACUGGAGGACCGAACCGACUAAUGUUGAAAAAUUAGCGGAUGACCUGUGGCUGGGGGUGAAAGGCCAAUCAAACCGGGAGAUAGCUGGUUCUCCCCGAAAGCUAUUUAGGUAGCGCCUCGUGAAUUCAUCUCCGGGGGUAGAGCACUGUUUCGGCUAGGGGGCCAUCCCGGCUUACCAACCCGAUGCAAACUGCGAAUACCGGAGAAUGUUAUCACGGGAGACACACGGCGGGUGCUAACGUCCGUCGUGAAGAGGGAAACAACCCAGACCGCCAGCUAAGGUCCCAAAGUCAUGGUUAAGUGGGAAACGAUGUGGGAAGGCCCAGACAGCCAGGAUGUUGGCUUAGAAGCAGCCAUCAUUUAAAGAAAGCGUAAUAGCUCACUGGUCGAGUCGGCCUGCGCGGAAGAUGUAACGGGGCUAAACCAUGCACCGAAGCUGCGGCAGCGAACGUAUCACCCAAGACAACUUUACGGAGUUGACGAUUGACGGAGCGAAGCGACGUCAAAGCGUUCAUUAAAGUCGAGUUGGCUUAGGGAUACGUUCGUUGGGUAGGGGAGCGUUCUGUAAGCCUGUGAAGGUGUGUCGUGAGGCAUGCUGGAGGUAUCAGAAGUGCGAAUGCUGACAUAAGUAACGAUAAAGCGGGUGAAAAGCCCGCUCGCCGGAAGACCAAGGGUUCCUGUCCAACGUUAAUCGGGGCAGGGUGAGUCGACCCCUAAGGCGAGGCCGAAAGGCGUAGUCGAUGGGAAACGGGUUAAUAUUCCCGUACUUGGUGUUACUGCGAAGGGGGGACGGAGAAGGCUAUGUUGGCCGGGCGACGGUUGUCCCGGUUUAAGCGUGUAGGUGUGUGUUCCAGGUAAAUCCGGUUCACUUUAACACUGAGGCGUGACGACGAGGCACUACGGUGCUGAAGCAACAAAUGCCCUGCUUCCAGGAAAAGCCUCUAAGCAUCAGGUAACACGAAAUCGUACCCCAAACCGACACAGGUGGUCAGGUAGAGAAUACCAAGGCGCUUGAGAGAACUCGGGUGAAGGAACUAGGCAAAAUGGUGCCGUAACUUCGGGAGAAGGCACGCUGACACGUAGGUGAAGUGAUUUACUCAUGGAGCUGAAGUCAGUCGAAGAUACCAGCUGGCUGCAACUGUUUAUUAAAAACACAGCACUGUGCAAACACGAAAGUGGACGUAUACGGUGUGACGCCUGCCCGGUGCCGGAAGGUUAAUUGAUGGGGUCAGCGUAAGCGAAGCUCCUGAUCGAAGCCCCGGUAAACGGCGGCCGUAACUAUAACGGUCCUAAGGUAGCGAAAUUCCUUGUCGGGUAAGUUCCGACCUGCACGAAUGGCGUAAUGAUGGCCAGGCUGUCUCCACCCGAGACUCAGUGAAAUUGAACUCGCUGUGAAGAUGCAGUGUACCCGCGGCAAGACGGAAAGACCCCGUGAACCUUUACUAUAGCUUGACACUGAACAUUGAGCCUUGAUGUGUAGGAUAGGUGGGAGGCUUUGAAGUGUGGACGCCAGUCUGCAUGGAGCCGACCUUGAAAUACCACCCUUUAAUGUUUGAUGUUCUAACGUGGACCCGUAAUCCGGGUUGCGGACAGUGUCUGGUGGGUAGUUUGACUGGGGCGGUCUCCUCCUAAAGAGUAACGGAGGAGCACGAAGGUUGGCUAAUCCUGGUCGGACAUCAGGAGGUUAGUGCAAUGGCAUAAGCCAGCUUGACUGCGAGCGUGACGGCGCGAGCAGGUGCGAAAGCAGGUCAUAGUGAUCCGGUGGUUCUGAAUGGAAGGGCCAUCGCUCAACGGAUAAAAGGUACUCCGGGGAUAACAGGCUGAUACCGCCCAAGAGUUCAUAUCGACGGCGGUGUUUGGCACCUCGAUGUCGGCUCAUCACAUCCUGGGGCUGAAGUAGGUCCCAAGGGUAUGGCUGUUCGCCAUUUAAAGUGGUACGCGAGCUGGGUUUAGAACGUCGUGAGACAGUUCGGUCCCUAUCUGCCGUGGGCGCUGGAGAACUGAGGGGGGCUGCUCCUAGUACGAGAGGACCGGAGUGGACGCAUCACUGGUGUUCGGGUUGUCAUGCCAAUGGCACUGCCCGGUAGCUAAAUGCGGAAGAGAUAAGUGCUGAAAGCAUCUAAGCACGAAACUUGCCCCGAGAUGAGUUC
rnacentral:rRNA from 2 species